UACAGAGGGUGCAAGCGUUGUUCGGAAUUACUGGGCGUAAAGCGUGCGUAGUCGGUAUUGAGAGUCACGGGUGAAAUCCCAAGGCUUAACCUUGGAACUGCCUGUGAGACCUCAGUACUAGAGUGUGAGAGGGGAUAGUGGAAUGCCAAGUGUAGCGGUGAAAUGCGUAGAGAUUUGGCGGAACACCGGUGGCGAAGGCGGCUAUCUGGCUCACAACUGACGAUCAGGCACGAAAGCGUGGGGAGCAAAC
rnacentral:rRNA from 1 species